GAGUUUGAUUCUGGCUCAAACGAACGCUGGCGGCAGGCCUAACACAUGCAAGUCGAGCGAACCUUCGGGUUAGCGGCGGACGGGUGAGUAACGCGUGGGAAUGUGCCUCGGGGUGCGGAACAACAGCUGGAAACGGCUGCUAAUACCGCAUGAUGUCUACGGACCAAAGAUUUAUCGCCCCGAGAUCAGCCCGCGUUGGAUUAGAUAGUUGGUGAGGUAACGGCUCACCAAGUCGACGAUCCAUAUCUGGUUUGAGAGGAUGAUCAGACACACUGGGACUGAGACACGGCCCAGACUCCUACGGGAGGCAGCAGUGGGGAAUCUUGGACAAUGGGGGCAACCCUGAUCCAGCCAUGCCGCGUGAGCGAUGAAGGCCUUAGGGUUGUAAAGCUCUUUCACCGGUGAAGAUAAUGACGGUAGCCGGAGAAGAAGCCCCGGCUAACUCCGUGCCAGCAGCCGCGGUAAUACGGAGGGGGCUAGCGUUGUUCGGAAUUACUGGGCGUAAAGCGCGCGUAGGCGGGCUGUUAAGUCGGGGGUGAAAUCCCGGGGCUCAACCCCGGAACUGCCCUCGAUACUGGCAGCCUAGAGGAUGAGAGAGGCGAGUGGAAUUCCGAGUGUAGAGGUGA
rnacentral:rRNA from 1 species